UACAGAGGGUGCAAGCGUUGUUCGGAAUUAUUGGGCGUAAAGGGCGCGUAGGCGGUGCGGUAAGUCCGCUGUGAAAUCUCUGGGCUCAACUCAGAGCCUGCUGUGGAAACUGCCGUGCUAGAGUGUGGGAGAGGUGAGUGGAAUUCCCGGUGUAGCGGUGAAAUGCGUAGAUAUCGGGAGGAACAUCAGUGGCGAAGGCGACCGCCUGGCCCAACACUGACGCUGAGGUGCGAAAGCGUGGGUAGCAAACAGG
rnacentral:rRNA from 1 species